UACGAAGGGGGCUAGCGUUGCUCGGAAUCACUGGGCGUAAAGCGCACGUAGGCGGAUCCUUAAGUCGGGGGUGAAAUCCUGGAGCUCAACUCCAGAACUGCCUUCGAUACUGAGGAUCUCGAGUCCGGGAGAGGUGAGUGGAACUGCGAGUGUAGAGGUGAAAUUCGUAGAUAUUCGCAAGAACACCAAUGGCGAAGGCAGCUCUCUGGGACGGUACUGACGCUGAGACGCGAAAGCGUGGGGAGCGAACAGG
rnacentral:rRNA from 1 species